rnacentral:rRNA from 1 species
GAUGAACGCUGGCGGCGUGCUUAACACAUGCAAGUCGAACGGUGAAGGCGGAGCUUGCUCUGCUGGAUCAGUGGCGAACGGGUGAGUAACACGUGAGCAAUCUGCCCCUGACUCUGGGAUAAGCGCUGGAAACGGCGUCUAAUACUGGAUACGAGCUGCGAAGGCAUCUUCAGCAGCUGGAAAGAAUUUCGGUCAGGGAUGAGCUCGCGGCCUAUCAGCUUGUUGGUGAGGUAAUGGCUCACCAAGGCGUCGACGGGUAGCCGGCCUGAGAGGGUGACCGGCCACACUGGGACUGAGACACGGCCCAGACUCCUACGGGAGGCAGCAGUGGGGAAUAUUGCACAAUGGGCGAAAGCCUGAUGCAGCAACGCCGCGUGAGGGACGACGGCCCUCGGGUUGUAAACCUCUUUUAGCAGGGAAGAAGCGAAAGUGACGGUACCUGCAGAAAAAGCGCCGGCCAACUACGUG